UUUUUAGUGUAUGCAAGUAGUUGGAAUCAAAAGAAAAGAUUGGAAAAAACUGAUAACAACGAAAUAAUUUUAAGCUAUAAGUAAAUAGUUGGACAGAAUCUAAAUUAGUA